rnacentral:lncRNA from 1 species
UUUUUUUUUUUUUUUGUCUUUUGUCUGUUGUUGUUGUUGUUGCUAUUUCUUGGGCCGCUCCCGCGGCAUAUGGAGAUUCCCAGGCUAGGGGUUGAAUUGGAGCUGUAGCCACCGGCCUACGCCAGAGCCACAGCAACGCGGGAUCCGAGCCGCGUCUGCAACCUACACCACAGCUCAGGGCAAUGCCCGAUCGUUAACCCACUGAGCAAGGGCAGGGACGGAACCCGCAACCUCAUGGUUCCUAGUCGGAUUCGUUAACCACUGCGCCACGACGGGAACUCCCCAUUUAUAUAAUUUUAAAGUGUAUGGUUUAAUGGCAUCAAGUACACAUUAUUGUGCAACUAUCACCACUAUCCAUCUACCCUUUCACAACCACACUCACCAAUACCCCUAACCCUCCAAUCCCUAAUCUCUGAAAACACUAAUCUGUUCUCUCUCUCUUUUUUUUUUUUUUGGCUUUUUAGGGACAUGGCUGUGGCAUAUGGAGGUUCCCAGGCUAGGGGUCUAAUCCGAGCCGUAGCCGCCGGCCUACUUCACAGCCACAGCAGCGCGGGAUCCAAGCCGCGUCUGUGACCUACACCACAGCUCACGGCAACGCCAGAUCCUUAACCCACCGAACAAGGCCAGGGAUCGAACCCGCAACAUGGUUCCCAGUCGGAUUCGUUAACCACUGCGCCACGACGGGAACUCCCUUACUACAGUUUCUUAAUCAUUUACCUGCAGAAGGACAUCUGCGCUGUUUCCAGUUUUCAGCUAUUACCAAUAAAGGUGCCGUGAACAUUCGUGCACAGUUUUUUGUGGGACCAUGUUUUCAUCUCCUUCGGGAUAAAGGUUAGAAGUACACUUACUGGGUCCUGUGUUAGGUGCUUAUUAAUUUGAAAACAAACUCUUGGCUUGCUCUCAUGUUCUCAAA